rnacentral:tRNA from 1 species
GGGCAAUUAGUUCAGAGGUAGAACGCUUCCUUGACACGGAAGAGGUCAGAAGUUCGAUUCUUCUAUUGCCCACCA